UACGUAGGGUGCGAGCGUUGUCCGGAAUUAUUGGGCGUAAAGGGCUCGUAGGCGGUUUGUCGCGUCGGGAGUGAAAACUCAGGGCUUAACCCUGAGCCUGCUUCCGAUACGGGCAGACUAGAGGUAUGCAGGGGAGAACGGAAUUCCUGGUGUAGCGGUGAAAUGCGCAGAUAUCAGGAGGAACACCGGUGGCGAAGGCGGUCAUCC
rnacentral:rRNA from 1 species